rnacentral:rRNA from 1 species
UACAGAGGGGGCCAGCGUUAUUCGGAAUUAUUGGGCGUAAAGGGCGCGUAGGCGGCCAUGCGUGUCUUCCGUGAAAUCCCUCGGCUUAACUGAGGACGUGCGGAAGAAACUGCAAGACUCGAGUCCGGGGAGAGGGGGGGUGGAAUUCCCAGUGUAGCGGUGAAAUGCGUAGAAUAUUGGGAGGAACACCGGUGGGCCGAAAGGGCGGCCCCCCUGGGACAACAC